rnacentral:rRNA from 1 species
GACGAACGCUGGCGGCGUGCCUAAUACAUGCAAGUAGAACGCACAGUUUAUACCGUAGCUUGCUACACCAUAGACUGUGAGUUGCGAACGGGUGAGUAACGCGUAGGUAACCUGCCUGGUAGCGGGGGAUAACUAUUGGAAACGAUAGCUAAUACCGCAUAAUAUUGAUUAUUGCAUGAUAAUUGAUUGAAAGAUGCUAUUUCAUCACUACCAGAUGGACCUGCGUUGUAUUAGCUAGUAGGUGAGGUAACGGCUCACCUAUGCGACGAUACAUAGCCGACCUGAGAGGGUGAUCGGCCACACUGGGACUGAGACACGGCCCAGACUCCUAAGGGAGGCAGCAGUAGGGAAUCUUCGGCAAUGGACGAAAGUCUGAACGAGCAACGCCGCGUGAGGGAAGAAGGUUGUCGGAUCGUAAAGAUCUGUUGUAAGAGAAGAACGGGUGUGAGAGUGGAAAGUUCACACUGUGACGGUAUCUUACCAGAAAGGGACGGCUAACUACGUG